rnacentral:rRNA from 1 species
GACGAACGCUGGCGGCGUGCCUAAUACAUGCAAGUCGAACGAAGCUGUUUUAACUGGUGCUUGCACCGACUUAAACAACUGAGUGGCGAACGGGUGAAUAACACGUGGGUAACCUGCCCCAAAGCGGGGGAUAACAUUUGGAAACAGAUGCUAAUACCGCAUAACCACAGAAACCACAUGGUUUCUGUGUCAAAGAUGGUUUCGGCUAUCACUUAGGGAUGGACCCGCGGCGUAUUAGCUAGUUGGUAAGGUAAUGGCUUACCAAGGCAAUGAUACGUAGCCGAACUGAGAGGUUGAUCGGCACAUUGGGACUGAGACACGGCCCAAACUCCUACGGGAGGCAGCAGUAGGGAAUCUUCCACAAUGGACGAAAGUCUGAUGGAGCAACGCCGCGUGAGUGAAGAAGGUUUUCGGAUCGUAAAACUCUGUUGUCAGAGAAGAACGUGUGCGAGAGUAACUGUUCGUGCAGUGACGGUAUCUGGCCAGAAAGCCACGGCUAACUACGUGCCAGCCGCCGCAGUAA